rnacentral:rRNA from 1 species
CACAAUACUUUCCGCCAGAGAACUACAAGUGAAAAACUUGAAACUCAAAGGACUUGGCGGUGUCCCACAUUCAGCCUAGAGGAGCCUGUCCUAUAAUCGAUACCCCACGUUUUACCUCACCCUCACUAGCACUAACUCAGCCUAUAUACCGCCGUCGACAGCUUACCCCAUGAGGGAAAAAUAGUAAGCAAAAUAGCCCCCCGCUAAUACGUCAGGUCAAGGUGUAGCUUAUGUGACGGAAGAGAUUGGCUACAUUUUUUAUAUUAAAAAACACGGAAUGCUACAUGAAAAAUAACAUGAAGGCGAAUUUAGUAGUAAGACAGACAAGAGAACCUGUCUUAAUAAUGCUCUGGGACGCG